rnacentral:snRNA from 1 species
GGAUGUGAGGGCGAUCUGGCUGCGACAUUUGUCACCUCAUUGAUCGCCAGGGUUGAUUCGGCUGAUCUGGCUGGCUAGGCGGGUGUCCCCUUCCUCCCCCAAUGAUCCAUGUGUGUCCCUCCUGAAGCUGCGCGCUCAGUGGAAGAGGGUGACCACCCCCGAUAGAGGAGGUACGUUCCUCGGUCAAGGGUAUACGAGUAGCUGCGUUCCCCUGCUAGAACCUCCAAACAAGCUCUCAAGAAAACAGUGAGAGGAAGAAGGGAAGGAAAAAGAAACUAGAUAACGGCAGACAAAUAAUAUCAAUGGCAUCCUUGGUCU